UACGUAGGGGGCAAGCGUUAUCCGGAUUUACUGGGUGUAAAGGGUGCGUAGGCGGCUUGGCAAGUCAGUAGUGAAAUCCAUGGGCUUAACCCAUGAACUGCUAUUGAAACUGUCGAGCUUGAGUGAAGUAGAGGUAGGCGGAAUUCCCGGUGUAGCGGUGAAAUGCGUAGAUAUUAGGAGGAACACCAGUGGCGAAGGCGGCCACCUGGACCGGUAUUGACGCUGAGGCGCGAAAGCGUGGGGAGCAAACAGG
rnacentral:rRNA from 1 species